rnacentral:rRNA from 1 species
AUUGAACGCUGGCGGCAGGCCUAACACAUGCAAGUCGAGCGGAUGAAGGGAGCUUGCUUCUGGAUUCAGCGGCGGACGGGUGAGUAAUGCCUAGGAAUCUGCAUGGUAGUGGGGGAUAACGUCUGGAAACGGGCGCUAAUACCGCAUACGUCCUGAGGGAGUAAGUGGGGGAUCUUCGGACCUCACGCUAUCAGAUGAGCCUAGGUCGGAUUAGCUAGUUGGUGGGGUAAAGGCCUACCAAGGCGACGAUCCGUAACUGGUCUGAGAGGAUGAUCAGUCACACCGGAACUGAGACACGGUCCAGACUCCUACGGGAGGCAGCAGUGGGGAAUAUUGGACAAUGGGCGAAAGCCUGAUCCAGCCAUGCCGCGUGUGUGAAGAAGGUCUUCGGGUUGUAAAGCACUUUAAGUUGGGAGGAAGGGCAGUAAGUUAAUACCUUGCUGUUUUGACGUUACCAACAGAAUAAGCACCGGCUAACUUCGUG